rfam:Stegodyphus mimosarum contig59921, whole genome shotgun sequence.
GCCUUCGUGGUACAAUGGUCAACACACUUGGCGCGUAUGCGAGAGGUCCGAGGUUCAAGUCCCGGUGAGGGCA